UCCCAUUGAAUUUUGUCCUGAGAUUUACC
rnacentral:piRNA from 1 species